UCCGAGUUGACCCCGGCAGUCUCUCACGAGUCCCCGGCAUGACCCGCUGGUAACUAGUCACGAGGGUUGCGCUCGUUGCGGGACUUAACCCAACAUCUCACGACACGAGCUGACGACAGCCAUGCAGCACCUGUGCUGGAGUCCCGAAGGAGGGCCGCCGUCUCUGGCGGCUUUCCCCAGCAUGUCAAGCCCAGGUAAGGUUCUUCGCGUUGCGUCGAAUUAAACCACAUGCUCCACCGCUUGUGCGGGCCCCCGUCAAUUCCUUUGAGUUUCAACCUUGCGGUCGUACUCCCCAGGCGGGGCACUUAAUGCGUUAGCGCCGGCACUCAGGGGGUCGCUCCCCCAAGCACCUAGUGCCCAUCGUUUACGGCGUGGACUAC
rnacentral:misc_RNA from 1 species